AGAGUUUGAUCCUGGCUCAGGAUGAACGCUGGCGGCGUGCUUAACACGUGCAAGUCGAACGAAGCACUUUAAUUGAUUUCUUCGGAAUGAAGUUUUUGUGACUGAGUGGAGGACGGGUGAGUAACGCGUGGGUAACCUGCCUCAUACAGGGGGAUAACAGUUGGAAACGACUGCUAAUACCGCAUAAGCGCACGGGAUUGCAUGAUCCAGUGUGAAAAACUCCGGUGGUAUGAGAUGGACCCGCGUCUGAUUAGCCAGUUGGCGGGGUAACGGCCCACCAAAGCGACGAUCAGUAGCCGACCUGAGAGGGUGACCGGCCACAUUGGGACUGAGACACGGCCCAAACUCCUACGGGAGGCAGCAGUGGGGAAUAUUGCACAAUGGGGGAAACCCUGAUGCAGCGACGCCGCGUGAGCGAAGAAGUAUUUCGGUAUGUAAAGCUCUAUCAGCAGGGAAGAAGAAUGACGGUACCUGACUAAGAAGCACCGGCUAAAUACGUGCCAGCAGCCGCGGUAAUACGUAUGGUGCAAGCGUUAUCCGGAUUUACUGGGUGUAAAGGGAGCGCAGGCGGUACGGCAAGUCUGAUGUGAAAGCCCGGGGCUCAACCCCGGUACUGCAUUGGAAACUGUCGGACUAGAGUGUCGGAGGGGUAAGCGGAAUUCCUAGUGUAGCGGUGAAAUGCGUAGAUAUUAGGAGGAACACCAGCGGCGAAGGCGGCUUACUGGACGAUUACUGACGCUGAGGCUCGAAAGCGUGGGGAGCAAACAGGAUUAGAUACCCUGGUAGUCCACGCCGUAAACGAUGA
rnacentral:rRNA from 1 species